UCCAGGUUCACCGUGGGAAAAACCCUUUGCUCAGGGGCUGUCUGGCAGAAGGUGCUGGCAUCCACACCCUUGUCAGAACCCUCCAUAGACUGAGCAGCUAGAUCACCUAAGCUGAUGGAGCUUUCCUGCAAUACCAGACACUGGCAUCCAUGAAGCGAAGUCUUAGGGUGGGCAUUUUGUGGAAAAGAGAGAGGAAAGAAGGAUUUCUUGGGGUUAACAGAAAGUGGAUGUAGAUAAAGGGAAUUCUCCAGUCUUGCACCGCUAACAUGGUGCAAUAUUCACAAACAGACAUGAUUCGUGCUUGUGGACAAAACUGACCUCGGAGCUGAGUCAAGCAUUGAAAAAUCCUGGAACUUUCAAUAUUUAUGUAGCCAAAGUGUCUCUCUUGCUCACUCACUUGCUUGCUUGUGUACCACUAAUUGAGCAACUACUAUGGGCCAGAUGCUCUGGAAAAUGUUGUUCUGAAGAGGAGUACUAAUCUUCACCAGUGGUGCACCUAGCUGUAUUUUGCACAUUAGGAAACAGACCCAGAGGCACACCUCCCAGAUGCAUCUUCCUCAUGGGGUUGUCGCAGGGUUUAAGAAAAUGAACUCAUAUAAAGGGCUCAGAAUAGUGUCUGGAUCACAGAACUCUGAAGAAUUUAUGUCAGUGAUUCUGAAGUGAGAAUGGAACAUGGAUCCAACCCCUCUAAGGAGUGGCAGCUGUGAUCCUUAUGAUGAGUGUGGAUAGGCAUCACACCUUUCUGCCCCUACAGCAUAAGCUGUUAAAUGACAGAGAAAUGUGGCCUGAGUACUGUGGCUUCCUGAUUCUUUCUGCGAUAAGUGCUGCCAGGGUAAGAAGUAGGAUUAGGGAUAACUGAACCCUUCUAUCAAGAAGACUUUCCCAGUCAGCUGUGAAAAUUCUCCCUAUUGAACCCUGAAGCUCUUGUUAUACAUUUUUGUUAACAGAAUUUUUUCAAAUGAAAACUAACCCUGUGAUUUGACUAGACUGAAAAACAAGAAAGGGAAUGUUCUGAUAUUGGGUAUCCAUGAUGUGCCAAGAACUGUGCUGGGUGUUUUAAAUAUAUCCUCUCAAAUUCAGAUAAUAUUCCUAUAUUUCUGUUAGAAAAAUUUGUAAAAGACUUUGAAAUGAAAAUAAAAUACUGCCAAGAGUGUAAAUUCUAGUACAACCUUCCAGAUUAUCUGACUCUGUUGGGGCCUGUGCAUUUCAUUGACUUUGAGCUAUUUCACAACCCUGUAAGUCCUAGAAAAGUGAUAGUAAUGCAAAUGAUUCCCAGCCAUAGAAAUGCAUGUGAAGUGUAUCUCUUGGAGACACAGUUGAUUAUUGCCCAGUGGUUAUUGAUCAAUUUUGCAAAUAUUUGUAAAUUUAUUUUAGCAUUCCUGAUUGCCCAUAUAUGUAUUUUCUUUGAAUUAUCCUUCAAGUAGUUGUCACAUCUCACUAGUUCC
rnacentral:lncRNA from 10 species